UCUGGGUUGCAUGGCUGCAUGCUGUGGAGGUUCUCUUUGGCAUUCGUGUCGGGUGGGCUUUCAUGGUGUCGUGGUCGUGUGACCUUUCUGCCGUAUCUGUUUUACAGAUGUCAGNCGGNGCAAUUGGCAUGUCUAGGAUGUCGUUAAUUCGGUGUCCUGGGNAGACGGCAUNUUUACUUUGAACAAAUUUGAGUGCUCAAAGCAGGCCGUAGUGCCUGAAAAUUCUUGCAUGGAAUAAUGAAAUAGGACNUCGGUUCUAUUNAGUUGGUUUUCGGACUCGNANUAAU
rnacentral:rRNA from 1 species